UGCCAGCAGCCGCGGUAAUACGGAGGGUGCAAACGUUGUUCGGAAUAAUUGGGCGUAAAGCGCGUGUAGGCGGCCUGUUAAGUCGACUGUGAAAGCCCAUGGCUCAACCAUGGAAGUGCAGUUGAUACUGGCAGGCUUGAGUCCCGGAGAGGGUGGCGGAAUUCCCAGUGUAGAGGUGAAAUUCGUAGAUAUUGGGAGGAACACCGGUGGCGAAGGCGGCCACCUGGACGGGUACUGACGCUGAGACGCGCAAGCGUGGGGAGCAAACACGAUUAGAUA
rnacentral:rRNA from 1 species